UCCUAGUUAACCUAGGCAGUCUCGUUAGAGUUCCCAUCUUAAAUGUUGGCAACUAACGAUAAGGGUUGCGCUCGUUGCGGGACUUAACCCAACACCUCACGGCACGAGCUGACGACAGCCAUGCAGCACCUGUGUAGAGGCCCUUUCGGGAGCUGACAUCUCUGCCAGCGCCCUCUACAUUUCAAACCCGGGUAAGGUUCUUCGCGUUGCAUCGAAUUAAACCACAUGCUCCACUGCUUGUGCGGGCCCCCGUCAAUUCUUUUGAGUUUUAUCCUUGCGGACGUACUCCUCAGGCGGCAUACUUAUCGCGUUCGCUUCGACACAGUCAGGGUUGAGCCCAACUACAUCAAGUAUGCAUCGUUUACGGCAAGGACUAC
rnacentral:misc_RNA from 1 species